CUUUCGUUUUUUCUCUUACACAUACAGACACAUUCUCUUUCUCUCUCUCUCUCUUUCUCUCUCUCUCUCUUUUUCGUACUCUCUAUCCCAUAUACCAACGCGCACACGUAUACAAAAAAAUAACACACACAUACACUCAUAUAUACUCAUCACACACUUAUAUACUGACGCACGAAAACACUGGAAGAACGUAGUUCUUAACUCGUUCGUUCGUUCGUACGUUCGUUCGUACGUUCGUACGUACGUUCGUUCGUUCAUUAGUUCAUCAUUAGCAACAGUAGCAGUUAUUCUCUGUCAGGAUUCCAAUCUACGUUGUUUCCAUUAAAGAGAGAAAAGAUUAUUCGACUAAGCAUAUAUAAGAGUAUUUACGAAGGAACUCGUAGGAAAGAUCCGUUGACCGGUUUUGUCAAUCGUUAGAAGGUGUCAUCCGGUGUUCACCGCCGGGUUCUCCACGGAGGACCGCCAAGUCCACCGGUGGAGCAGAUCCGGCGGAAAUUGCCGUCCUUUUUAUCAUCGUUGUUCAUCAUCAUACUUUGAUCGUCAUUGUCAUCGUCAACGAGAUGGAAGGAAGAGGAUACAUGGUGUUAAUAUCAUCGUCAUAUUAUAAGAAAUCUAUCAUUUCGGGGUGGAUCGAUCUUACGAUAAAUGACGAAAUCUAUGCACCUAUUUUAUCUCGUUUCUUUUAAAAUUAUUGUAUUCAAAGUAUAAGAGAAGUGUGUAUAUUGUUUUAUUCGACAAUUUUCCCCAUUUACGAUCGAAAGUUUUCAUAACUUUAAUCGUUAACGUUAUAAGGUGGUGGUAGUGGUGAUGAUGGUGGUGGUGGUGUUGGUGGUAGUGGCGAUGAUGAUAUGGUAGAAUAUAGGUGAAGGAUACAAACCUUUAGAGAUAACCAUCCCCCGUUAUUUUGGAAAAGCUAUUGUUUGCGCGCACGGUUUCUAUCUGUGUAGAAUCAGUGAUGUUUUUAUCGUCGUGGAUGAAAAGUUAUACUUCGAAAGAUUACGAAUUAAAGCCCAAGUUUGAAGAGAAAAAAAUAUUCUAGAAAAAAGGGCUUUAAAAAGAAAGAAAGAAAGGGAGAGAGAAAAAGAGAGAGAGAGAGAGGGAGAGAGAGAAUAGAAAAGAAGAAAUAAAAAGAUUAUCAAAUUUAUUCUCGAAGAAUCGUGAUCGUUUGUUCUUUGUGAUAUUGAACUCUGGCUGUUAGUCGAAUAGUAACGCGGUUUAAGAUCGUUACGAUUUGAGUUUGUCGAUAAAGGGAAGAGGGAGAGGA
rnacentral:lncRNA from 1 species